rnacentral:rRNA from 1 species
UAACAAUGGCUUUAGUGGCGGACUGGUGAGUAACGCGUAAGCAAUCUGCCUAUUAGAGGGGAAUAACAAUGAGAAAUCAUUGCUAAUACCGCAUAUGCCAUAAGAAUCACAUGAUUCCAGUGGGAAAGGAGUGAUCCACUAAUAGAUGAGCUUGCGUCUGAUUAGUUAGUUGGUGGGGUAACGGCCUACCAAGACGACGAUCAGUAGCCGGACUGAGAGGUUGAACGGCCACAUUGGGACUGAGACACGGCCCAAACUCC